rnacentral:rRNA from 1 species
UACAGAGGUCUCAAGCGUUGUUCGGAUUCAUUGGGCGUAAAGGGUGUGUAGGUGGCGCCGUAAGUGGGGUGUGAAAUUUCGAGGCUUAACCUCGAAACUGCAUUCCAUACUGCGGUGCUUGAGGACUGGAGAGGAGACUGGAAUUUACGGUGUAGCAGUGCACUGCGUAUAUAUCGUAAGGAAGUCCAGUGGCGAAGGCGGGUCUCUGGACAGUUCCUGACACUGAGACACGAAGGCCAGGGGAGCAAACGGG